rnacentral:rRNA from 1 species
UACAGAGGUCUCAAGCGUUGUUCGGAUUCAUUGGGCGUAAAGGGUGUCGUAGGCGGCGCCGGUAAGUCGGGUGUGAAAUUCGUGGACUUAACUCCGAAACUGCAUUCGAUACUGCGUGCUUGAGGACUGGAGAGGAGACUGGAAUUAUGGUGUAGCGUGAAAUGCGUAGAGUAUCGAUGAGGAAGACCAGUGGCGAAGGCGGGUCUCUGGACAGUUCCUGACGCUGAGACGAAGGCCAGGGGAGCAAACGGGAUUAGAACCUCCGUAGUCAGUCCAAGCCAGUCUCGUCUA